GCUUCUAGGAGCUGUCAUCGUGAUAGCAGCAAAUGCUGGUAGUGCUUGGACUCCUAUCGGUGAUGUUACCACUACCAUGCUAUGGAUACAUGGUAAAAUAUCCACAUUCCAAACUAUGAAGGGUUUGUUUCUCUAUCUGUUCUGCUGGCGCUUGUGUCUCUGACUAGCGAAGUAAAUGGGAAAGGACAAGCUUCUCCCAAUGUUUUGGCAUCCGAACAAAUGGCUUCGAGAGGACAACUUGUUUUCUUUGUGGGU